CUACGGGGUGCAGCAGUGAGGAAUAUUGCACAAUGGGGGGAACCCUGAUGCAGCAACGCCGCGUGGAGGAUGACGCAUUUCGGUGUGUAAACUCCUUUUAUGAGUCAAGAAAAUGACGGUAGCUCAUGAAUAAGCACCGGCUAACUCCGUGCCAGCAGCCGCGGUAAUACGGAGGGUGCAAGCGUUACUCGGAAUCACUGGGCGUAAAGGACGCGUAGGCGGGUUGUCAAGUCAGGUGUGAAAUCCUACAGCUUAACUGUAGAACUGCACUUGAAACUGGCAACCUAGAGUAUGGGAGGGGGAGAUGGAAUUAGUGGUGUAGGGGUAAAAUCCGUAGAUAUCACUAGGAAUACCGAAAGCGAAGGCGAUCUCCUGGAACAUUACUGACGCUAAGGCGUGAAAGCGUGGGGAGCAAACAGGAUUAGAUACCCCCGUAGUC
rnacentral:rRNA from 1 species